UUAUCUUUUUUGAAUGAAUGUAAUAUUUAUUCACCAAAAUAACCAGUGUUAUAUCAGGUACAUCUUUUCUGAAUUUUCAAUACUGUUGGGUACAAACCAAAGGUCCCACAUCGAAAGUUUAGAAAAAGAGUUUCUAAUAUAUAAGCUAAGUCCAACUCCAACUAGUAUGAGGCCUUUUGGGAAGGAACCCAAUAAUAAAUCCUUGCGGGCUUGAGCAUAUAAGCCCAAAGAGGACAAUAUCAUACUAAAUGAGAGUUGGAAUGGGCUUAGAAAGCUCUUUAAAUACAAAGC
rnacentral:sRNA from 1 species